CAGCCUCAGCCGUUCUCUAGACUUCAGGCUGGCUGCACACACAAGCCAGCUGAACUCUGCCUGCCCACAGCAAGGGGGGACACUAGGCAGUCAGCUUGGCUUUCCUGCACGAAUCUGGGACGCUCAGCGAGUUCACGCUUUAGGAAUGCUCCAGAGAAACCGCAACAAGGGCACAUGAGCGACUGCAGAUGUGGAAGGCAGGCCAGCUCUCCACUUUGAGAGAGCCUUCCUGGACAUCCUGUCCAAAGAAAUCCCAGGCACCCCAACCAACAGCUAUGGAAAGCAACAAAAUAUUUUGUAAGACUUUUUAGAAAAUUUCAAAGUAUUGUUUCCUGCCCACGCAUCAGCAUUAUCAUUGUUCUCAAAUAUCCUGCUUUUUCAUUUCAUUAGUCAAAACUUUUUUUUUUAAUUAACAUGAAAAUUAGCUGAGACAGUAGGAAGAAGAGCUUAGUAGCUACAGCAGUGGAUUGGGACUUUGGAGCUCAAUUCCUAAAUCAGCCCCUGCCUUCCUUUGUACUGAUGAUCGAGUCAUGGGUGUAGAGCCCUGAGCAGAUGCCAAAUUUAUAUCCAUGGAUAUAAAGCAGAUAUUCGCGGAGCUGCAGGGCUCUACCAGGAACCACAGUGGCAAAAUCAGCAAUAUGUUGGGCCACUGCUCGCAGGAGCCAGCGCCCAGCCCAGAUAGCUCCUCCGGUAUGGCUGCACUGCCCUGAGCCCAGCCCCUUGGGGCAGGCACCAGGCUCAAUGGCAGCUGUCCCUGGUUGUGCUACAGUGUGCAAGCGACUCGCAUGCUCCCAGACAGGAGACGCAGACAGCUGUGUGGAAGGAACUCCUGUCCGGGAAUAUGCAAACUGCUUGCACGCACUAGCAUGAUCAACAUUUCAAUUAAAAGUGCCUGUGACGGGGAACAUCGGCCUCACACUGGUACCGCAGGGGUUAACCCUUCCUUCCUAGCAGAGGAAGCUCCACCCCGUAAGCUCUGCUGGGCAUGCUCUAACUGAAGAACAGGUAUAAAAGCCUACAGAGCUGCUCAGUCUGGACUGACCGCUGGAGGGGAAGGAGGCACGCCGCCAGCUCCCAAGGAGGGACAGCCUGCGUGCCAGGAUCCGGGGGGCCAGCCGAGCCGGGAUGCACCCUCAUGCCCAGACAGAGGACGUCACAGGAGGGGAACAGACCGGAGGAUCCCACGAAGCGGAGAACCUGGCAUUUAUGGAUGAAGGGUUACGUCAGGUGAGAUAUUGCGCCUUGUUUCAGAGGAGACAAUCUGAAGUGGCUGCAGCUGGGUGCAGGAGUCAGCUGUGGUCAAUGGAUAGUUUAUGGAGCAAGAGGAAGCCUGUUCUCAAGCUAUGUUUCUGAGCCUUCAAUCAGAGCUUGAAUCCAUUCUGAAUGUGAGGCCAAAAGGACAGCUGUCCAUGCAUAGGUGGAAGCCCAGAAGGUACAGGGAGCGUCUUUCCUGCCUUGGAUUUCUAUGCAGAAGGCCACCAUCACAUGGGUAGCUGCAGUCCAAGCACAUGAGGGUAGAAGGAUGCUAGUGUUGCCAGCAAUACUUCAUGACCCAUAUGUGUCUGGCACGGACGGGACUUGGCCAGGAUUCUACUGCACUGCAACUUUCCCACACAACGGGGAGCAUCUGGUGCCCAGAUUGGGAUGGGCGUGUGACUUUUAAAUGGGACUGUUGAUGAAUGUGCUCCCCCAGGACAAGUCGAAGCAUCAUUCCUGUUGGCCUCCAGAGGCAUACUACCUUGUAAUGUUGAGAGGUACCGGUGAUUGCAUCAAUCAGAAACCUCUUCAAGAUUGGGUGGAGAAGCAUCCUUCAAUUAGCAUAACUGUAAUGAGAUGUUAAUCAGAAGCCCCCCACCUGAGACAAAAGGGGAUUGUGAAGCUGCCGUGGGAUUUGGACUGAAUGGGAGGAGGGCUUUUGCUAAAUAGUGAGAGACAGAGACUGGGAGUAGGGUAGGGGGCAGAACACACACAACAGAGAGAGAAGCGGAGGCAAAAAGCAAGAAACCCAAGCAGUAGCUGUUGAAUACAGUGUGAUCCUGGAAAAAACUAGAGAGAGCAUUUGGGUCGAUCAGCUAAAGAGGCUUGGGGUUGUAAGCUAAGAAACUGUUCCUUUUGUUCUUGGGUCCUGCUGCAUUUGGAGAAGCAGGACUUUGUACUUUCUUUAUAA